rnacentral:lncRNA from 1 species
UUUAAUACAAAAACAUAGGCAUCAAAGAUUCAUAUUUCACAUAUAUCAAGCCAAAAAUAGCUGCGCAUCAUACAAUUUUUAGAAUAAUUUUUUAUGCACAAAAUCAUCAUAAAAUGACUCAUAUGAACACCAAAUCAAGCAUGAAGAUAUUCUAACUAACAUAACCCUUAUCUCUUGUGCAAAUCAGUCUUUAAACACCAAGAAUCACCUAAACAAAAGUAAGAGGACAAUUAAUAUUGGAUUUUAAGUCUUCUUGGCCAAAUUGGGUGUCAGAAAAAUGAUAAAUUUUCAUCCACUUUGAGCUUAAAUUUUGAGUGCUUUAGACAUGUCUCCUUAACACUUUCAAGAGUGAUUUUUAAACAUGGAAGAGAGCAACAUACUUACAUACCUUCUUAGUUUCAGAUUCAAAAUUGAAAAAGAAAGGGUGAAGAAUGAUGGUUACCUUUGCUGGACUUUGUAUAGAAAAACAAGAGAAUAAAAAAAGAAUAAGAAAAUGGACUUGAAAGACUUGAAUCCUUGAAGAACCCACCAAAAACUAUGGAAGAACAAUGAAUAAU